AGUCAGGCGAUGCACUGCACUGUUUUAAUUCACGGUAAAUUUUGUUUUUGCUUUUCUAACCGCGCUCGAAUGUGCCUACGCAGCGGACCGAAGCGUGCGCCACUAACCAAACCCUGCGGUAUUCUGUGAUUCUGUGCGGCAAAGAGGAUGUAAUAGCUUGUGGAGUAGUGAUACUGUGAGGAUGCGUGUGCGGCUGUGUGGUGUCGCUUCGAGCAAUUUGGCCUAUCAACCGAGACAACGGCUGACCCUAUGACACAGGAAGUCUGCUAGUAGAUCGAGUCCUUACAUUAGUCAUUCAAAAAAUCCAAUUUCAGUCUAUUUCAUUGAUACUGUCCUGUGUAUCCUGUGUCUCCUACAAUAUUGCGGUCGGCGGCAUUUAAUAACUGGUUAAUCUGCGCCUUAACAUAAAACUCUUACGAAAAUAAAGGUUAUUAAUAAGUUAUUAAUUGACAAAGAUUUGUAUGUAAAGACAACUCUAUUUUACUUAUCGAUCGAGUUUUUCAAGUAUUCGCUUCCGCAAACAUUCCGAUGUACACAUUGAACAUUACUAAAAUAUUUAGUGAUCAGCGUAUAAUUAAAUAAUUAAAAUUAUAAUUUAUUAUCAAACAGUUUUCAUUAUACAAUACACACGUACGAGGAAACCGCCGGACUUCCGCCCUCCACUGGAAUUGCGGGAGGAGCAUAUCAGAGUCGAACCGACUAAAACCUCCUGUUGCUCAACAACCAACGUCCAAACCUCGCAUGAGACCGAACUCAUGAAAAGGUAAAGGGGGGAAAGUGAAGCGUUUAGUGCGGAGCACAUUUCUCCCAUCAUCCUUUCCAUUAGUUGAUGGUGGGUUGCGGUAUUCACGUUCCGCACGGCUUCGAUAAAUUAACAUGAGGCGAACAUGUGGACAUAUUAAUAAAAUAUAUAUUCAAGUAAACCUACACUCGAUAAGCAAUGCUCGCUUUUAAAUAUAUCUAUUCAUGUAUAAAAGGAAAUCUUACCGCUUAUUAUUGGAGACGUGAAUAUCUUCAGGUUUGUAAAAGUACCUAAUGUGUUUUGUAGGAGAUCAAGAGGAUCAUUUCAUUGUUACGCUAACCAAAAUGUGGGCGUAUCACUCCUACAUGCAGAUAACAGUACUUUUUUUAUUAUUUAGAAAUUAGAUUGUCGAUUUAUUUUUUGUGAUACUAAUUUAUUGAUGAAAAAUUUUUGAAUUGAGGGUAAAAUGACUUGUUCUACUUUUGCUAAUGACUAUAGUUUUUGCCCUUUUUUUCUUUCAAUUAUGAAAAGUAAAAAAAAUCUAAUCAUAAAAUAUAUCGAAAUGGAAAUUUUGAAACGAUAUUUUCGGAAAACUUGAAUAGUUUCGGUCUUAUAGAGAUCAUGAUUAUGCAUCUGAUGUUAGGUAUUACUCACAAAUAUUGUUUGUUAAAAUUUUUAGUUCAUUCAAUUCAGGUGUAUCGUUAUUAAAUGGUUUACAUGUAAUAGGGUUCACACGUUAACUAAUUAGUGCCUAUUCAUGUUUUUAGUUUAUUUUCAUAGAAUCUUUCUACAGACUGAGAGUACAUGAGUUGACGGACCUAUGACGUAUUUGGUGUUGUAUUGAAUGGCAUGUAUUUGUAGACUGAUAAACUUAAUUGAGGAUCGAGGCUCAUGGACAUCAGAAAAGCCUGAGGCACAGUCGCUGCUUAUCGCAAACCUAUAGCGUUGAUUCAAUUACAAAUCAAUUUAAAUUUUACGUUUCAAAGUAAAAAAGAAUACGACAUGUUGGGAAAAGUUAUAGCGUCGCAUGCCUCAAAUAGAGGUUUGUGACUGGGCAAGUCACACUUCGGUUCUUCUAAUAACCAUUGUGUGCGUAACGAAGUUUCACGAUUGUUCAUUUAUUAUAUAAUUUAUAGGUUAGAGAGAGGUGUAUUUCGACUAGCUCUAUGACUUUCCGUCUCCACAUAAAAUCUGUCCGUAAACGCACCGCGUGUACUUGGUAGACUUUACCCCAUGAUAUACAAGCGAAGUAAACUGUCCCUUCGUAGUAAAGUGACAAUUCGCAAAAUACGUAUCUGUCCCACAGUGACUUAUGCGGGUGUGGUUCUUCUUCUUCUUUUUCCUAGCAUUUUCCCGGUCAGUGCCAAGGUCCCCUUUUCUACUUAAACUCCUCCGCUUUCCCGGAUCUUCGGCAUCCUUUUGAUUCGAAUUCGGUUGAAGAAAUUCAAUUAUUACAAGAUCGAUAGUUAGAUUUCGAAAUGUAUUUCAACCUUUUUUGAAUCCUAACGAUCUCAGGUGGAUACAAUUGGAUGGGACUGUACUCUGUGGUUAUGUAAGUCAUUCAAAAGACAUCGUACUUCUGUCAUAAUCAUAGAUGAUACACUUAAUAUAUUAUGUCAUAAUUCUAUAGGAAAUAUGUAAUCAAAGUUGAACAACAUUGAAAAUUUCAUGUUAAAUUUUAGUUCAUUUCAACAAAAUUAACUGUUAAAAUGCAUCACAGUUAGGUUAAUGCAUUAGGCCCUAAGUUCUGUUUAAAAAAAAAGCUUAUAGAAAAAUGUAAACAACGGGAAGCUGGAACAAAAAAUAUAUAAAAACAAACCCAAUACAAAAUUAUUUGUUUAUGCCAUUGAGUUAAACAAAUUAUGUGAACCUAUAAACUGUUUUUUUUUUAUUAAUUUUCAUAAAGACCCUUUCACAUUAUGUUCUUCAAACUGAGCAAAAGAAAGGUUAGCAGGGAACACUAAAUGAAUAAUAAAACAUGGAUUGCUGUUCGAAACUAUGUGGAAAUUCUAAUAAUAGAGUUGUGUUCAUAGAAGAUUAUGCAGACCAACUAAGGAAGAAAGAAAUAUAUUUAAAACAUAAAGAAAAAGAAUUAAUAAAAAGAGAUAAACAUUUAAAUAAGAAAAUAAAUAAACGCCGUAAAUCGUAUUGGGAUAUCAAAUCAGAUGUUAAGACUAUAAACGAUUUAAGAAAAGAAACUUUACGAUUGCAGCGCCAGGCAAUCAAGCUCAAAGAGCAAAGAUCAUCAAAGAGGAAAAAUAAAGAACACGAACCGAAUUUGUUACUAAAAUUAAUAUUUGGAAAACCAAAAUUAAACAAAUGUAAGCUAUUUAGUGAUUAUGAGCAAUGGCAGAAGAGGCAUAUGCUUAGAAAUCAAUGUUUGGCAGCCUUCAAUAGGGUACUCGGUUCAUCAACGGGAAAUUAUAGUUUUUCUCAGCCUUGUAUUUGUUCAACACGAAGACCAGUUCAGAAACGCGGUAACGCUAGCGGAGAUUGCUAUCUCAUGUCAUUAAGAAAAACCCCACACGUCGGUAUUUAUCACCGGUGGCCACAGUUUUAUCCCCACUAUUUAAAUGCACGAGCACAAAUCGAAAAUGUUAAGUGCGUCCUAUUAUUCAUUUUGGGUAUUAUUAUUUGGACGCCUUGUUUUAUACUACUAGGUAUCUGCAAGUGUUGCUAUUGUUUUUGUUGUUCGGAUUGCUCAUAAGAAUUUACGGAAAAUACUACAAAGCUUGGAACAUAUAA